GGGGAUUAUUGGGCGUAAAGGGCUCGCAGGCGGGUUUCUUAAGUCUGAUGUGAAAGCCCCCGGCUCAACCGGKGAGGGUCAUUGGAAACUGGGAAACUUGAGUGCAGAAGAGGAGAGUGGAAUUCCACGUGUAGCGGUGAAAUGCGUAGAGAUGUGGAGGAACACCAGUGGCGAAGGCGACUCUCUGGUCUGUAACUGACGCUGAGGAGCGAAAGCGUGGGGAGCGAACAGGAUUAGAUACCCUGGUAGUCCACGCCGUAAACGAUGAGUGCUAAGUGUUAGGGGGUUUCCGCCCCUUAGUGCUGCAGCUAACGCAUUAAGCACUCCGCCUGGGGAGUACGGUCGCAAGACUGAAACUCAAAGGAAUUGACGGGGGCCCGCACAAGCGGUGGAGCAUGUGGUUUAAUUCGAAGCAACGCGAAGAACCUUACCAGGUCUUGACAUCCUCUGACAACCCUAGAGAUAGGGCUUUCCCUUCGGGGACAGAGUGACAGGUGGUGCAUGGUUGUCGUCAGCUCGUGUCGUGAGAUGUUGGGUUAAGUCCCG
rnacentral:rRNA from 1 species